GAUGAACGCUGGCGGCGUGCCUAAUACAUGCAAGUCGAGCGAACAGACGAGGAGCUUGCUCCUCUGACGUUAGCGGCGGACGGGUGAGUAACACGUGGAUAACCUACCUAUAAGACUGGGAUAACUUCGGGAAACCGGAGCUAAUACCAGAUAACAUGUUGAACCGCAUGGUUCAACAGUGAAAGACGGUCUUGCUGUCACUUAUAGAUGGAUCCGCGCCGCAUUAGCUAGUUGGUAAGGUAACGGCUUACCAAGGCAACGAUGCGUAGCCGACCUGAGAGGGUGAUCGGCCACACUGGAACUGAGACACGGUCCAGACUCCUACGGGAGGCAGCAGUAGGGAAUCUUCCGCAAUGGGCGAAAGCCUGACGGAGCAACGCCGCGUGAGUGAUGAAGGUCUUCGGAUCGUAAAACUCUGUUAUUAGGGAGGAACAAAUGUGUAAGUAACUAUGCACGUCUUGACGGUACCUAAUCAGAAAGCCACGGCUAACUACGUGCCAGCAGCCGCGGUAAUACGUAGGUGACAAGCGUUAUCCGGAAUUAUUGGGCGUAAAGCGCGCGUAGGCGGUUUUUUAAGUCUGAUGUGAAAGCCCACGGCUCAACCGUGGAGGGUCAUUGGAAACUGGAAAACUUGAGUGCAGAAGAGGAAAGUGGAAUUCCAUGUGUAGCGGUGAAAUGCGCAGAGAUAUGGAGGAACACCAGUGGCGAAGGCGACUUUCUGGUCUGUAACUGACGCUGAUGUGCGAAAGCGUGGGGAUCAAACAGG
rnacentral:rRNA from 1 species